rnacentral:rRNA from 1 species
GACGAACGCUGGCGGCGUGCUUAACACAUGCAAGUCGAACGGGUCUGCCCUGUUUUUUGCGGGGUGGGUCAGUGGCGAACGGGUGAGUAACACGUGAGUAACCUGCCCCUCACUUCUGGAUAACCGCUUGAAAGGGUGGCUAAUACGGGGUGUUCUGGCUGUGCCGCAUGGUGUGGCUGGGAAAGAUUCACUUUUGUGGUGUUUUGGUGGGGGAUGGGCUCGCGGCCUAUCAGCUUGUUGGUGGGGUGAUGGCCUGCCAAGGCUUUGAGGGGUAGCCGGCCGGGGAGGGUGGGCGGUCACACUGGGACUGAGAUACGGCCCAGACUCCUGCGGGAGGCAGCAGUGGGGGGUAUUGCACAAUGGGCGGAAGCCUGAUGCAGCGACGUGGCGUGAGGGAUGGAGGCCGUCGGGUUGUGAACCUCUUUCGCCGGUGAAGAAGGUCCUGCUAUUUGGGGUGGGGUUGACGGUAGCCGGGUUAUGAAGCGCCGGCUAACUACGUG